rnacentral:lncRNA from 1 species
UAUACAGGCAUAUAAUAUAUACGAAUAUAAUCUGUGAUCCAGGUAAAAACUAAGUUAGUUAAACUAUAAUAGAAUAUUGGUAACGCACUGAAGCGCACGAGCGUGGGUAUUUAGUAAGUUGUUACUACAAUAGUUACGAUUGAGGCAAACUUAAACAAUUUACUUAACGUAGGGGGGUGCUAAAUUUGUUGAACUAAGUAUCUAUUAGAUAGGUAGGUGUUUUUUCGGGCAGUAUAAAAUAUGUGAUGUACAAAUGUGCAUUAGAUUUUUUAAAUAUAGUUGUGUAAACUUGUGUUAUCCAAGUCGAUAUUUGAUUAACUGUUUUUUUUCUGAAUAAUGAGAGCGAAUAAUCAAAGCGCGUUUGAUAAAUGCUGUACGGAAACACUAAACAUCUUUACAUCUCCUAUUAUUGGCGGAACGACCUGAGUACCUGACCAAACCACUCUAUCGUUGCGUUGUUGUCAAGACGCACAGGUAAAUUUCUAAAAUUAUACCGAGAAACAGUGAUCCCCAAAAUAGUCUGAAAUCCAUGACGAUUCAUCCAAUUAGCAUAGUAAUAUUAAUACCCAAUAGAUAUUUUGGUAAUCCACGGCUAAAAUUGAUUCCCUCUCCAAUAAAUGCGAAGAUUUCUAGACACCAUAUCUGCCGUUCACCAAUAUAGAGUCAGUCUGUUACAGACACGAGACAUCUACUAUACCUUUACGUUAGCCUUGCCUUCUCUCCCUCUCCGUGUUUCACUAUCCUCAUAUUUCGCUCAACAUUAUUUACGCUUUACACAGUCGUUUAAUUUUUUUUAAUUUUUCGUUUAUUCCUUAAACAAUUUAAAUAUGUUUCAAUGCGUACAGUGCCCGUCGGUAUUCCCGCAUAAAAACGGUUUGCUCAGAUAUGGGAAAACUCAUACCGGUAUGCGUUUUCCAUACAACACGACGUAUGCAAUAUGCAUUAAAUCAUUCAAUGAUAAGUCCGACCUCAACAAACGUCUGAAAAACAUUCGUGAUAUGUACCUACCUAUUGUCAACUUUCAGGCUUAUCGCUAACCUGCUACACCGAUUGUUCAACAGAGUGUUAUAGGUACUGUUAUCCAGUUAGUAACUGGUAUUGUCCAACCCACGGACUAAGAUAUAUCUAAGGUAUAUCUUAGUCCGUAGUCCAACCUGAUCAACAACAGAUUAAUAUACACAUUGCCCCGGAAAUAUUUGUCCCCGAUAUCCCGGCCGGUAGAUCUAAUUCGGUAUACGACGACAUGUGUAUGAUUUCAAUGAAAAUCAGGACGUUAUUACAGGAUUUGCUGUACUUGAUAUAGGUAUCAAAAACAAAAAUGUACGACUAAUACUACAAUGUGAAACACUAUUGAGACAAAAUUAAACUCAUGUAUACUGACACAGGUGACAGAUUCUUUGAUAUAUCGUAUUAAGACGGAGGAUGUCUAUGGAUACUUGGCGGUUAACCAUAGCUUGUUGGACCAGAUAUACACUGCUAACCUGCCUAGUGUCCAUCCUUGUUAUGUAGCAGGGAAAAAAAAGGAGCAGGGGUAUUUUUCUGAUGAGGUGGACGGUAAUAUAAUUACAGAUUUUUGUGCACUGCGUGCCAAAUCGUAUGCCUUCAACGUUUAUGUAGGACCAGAGGAUGAGAAGAAAGAUGAAGAGAACAGAAUAGGAGGAGAGAAGAUCAAAGCGUAGGUGAUUAGGUCUCAUGUGGUUAAAACUCACAUAACUCUUGAAGACAACAGAAAGUGUUUGUUUGUUGAAGCUGGAAUAGAGACUAUCACUGAUAAUGUUUCUAUACGGUCAUUCAAUCAUAAACUCAUGACUAUAAAAACAAUGAAAUUAACUUAAAACAACUAUGAUGCAAGAGGGUGGUGCUAGAUACAAACAUUAGCCCCAUGGGCGUUAUAGUUUGUACUAUAAAUUACUGGAACUUGAUUUUAUGGAAGAUGCAGAAGGAGGGAAAUGGUCUGGUUUAGAUAAAGAAGUGAUGCUUCUACAUCACAAUACCUAAAUAAUUCUUUCACUAAUUUUAAAAACUGUAAAAUUUUUUGUUUUGUUAUACAUUGAUUUUUGUAAAUAACUUGAAAAUAUUACUCUAAUAAUUGUUUAGGUUUUGUAAUAUACUGAUUAUUGUAAAUAUUACUCAGAUACUUUGUAAAUGUUAUUGCUGAAUAUUUAAGAUAGAUUAAUAUAAACCUAGCUUAUAUAAUAUAUUUUCACCUUUAUAAUGUAUAGUUUGUAAAUGUAACAUAUUAUAAACUUUUAAUAGGUACCUAUUUAUUUUUAAAUGUAUAAUUUUUAAAUAUUCUGUAAGUAUACCGUAUCAGUAUGAUUUUGUUAGAUAUUUAAGAUAGAUUAAAGUAUAAACUUGAAAUAUUAUUUUUUAUUUUACUCCCUUUAUAAUGUAUACUUUAUAUAUAUCCAUGUAAAUAUAUAAUAUUUAUUUUUAUAAUUUAUAAUUUGCAAAUAGCUCUACCAGGUUAAACUGCAAAUAGCCACGUAAUUGCUAGAUAUUUAAGAUAGUUUACAAUGUACCUACCUGUAGUCUACUAGUAUCUUUUUAACUAGGGUAGGUAUUCAAGCCUUCAAUAUUCAACAUAUUGUUGUCUCCUAAGAAUAAAACAUUUUUCUCCCUAUUUUGACAUUAUUUAGCUAUGUGGGCUUCAUUAUUUAAUUUUGUUUAUUUAUAUUUUGCUAGUCUAGUCUAGUUUUCUAUUUUGGCCAAAGCAUUACCACCCGACUUAUGACUGUCAUGUCCAAUAAAUUGUAUUAUAAAGUCUAAAGAAAAGUAUAUUAUAUCCCUCAUUUGCUACAGACAGUGGCAUAGCCAUGAAUUUUCUUUGGUGUGGGCUGAUAAUGUGUUUACAUAGAUUUUCACUAUCUUGUGGAUUUUAGUAAAGUUUAGUCUAGUAAAGUUUUGUCCAUCAACAGAUUAGCUAACAAAAUAAAGAUAACAAUUAAAAAUCAGUAAAAUAAUAUUCCCAAAAUGAUCAAUGAGGUAGUCUUACCCCACGGUUAAUAAACAAGUAUACUGACCGUAGCCUAAAGUCUUACCUGCCUACAAUUAGGAUAUCAGUAUAAUAAUAUUAAUAUCAUAUUAUUAAUAGACAUAACAUUUGUUAGCUACCUUUAGGUACUCGUCACAUUGUCACGUGCAAUAUCAUUUGACUUCACCUAUAUUCAUAUUGAAUUAUUUUAUCUCGAAUACCGGAAUACCUACAUUUUCAAUACCUAUAUGGCUAUCGGUAUUAUAUUUUUCGAUUAAUUUGACAAUGUACGACAGAAAUAUUUUUUAAAUUUAAUUUAAAAAUUAUAAUUGCGUAGACAGAAUCUCAUCACCGAGCCCGUAAAAGUGCUUAUAAGAAAAAUAUUAUUAUUGUCCCCAGUGUGGAAUCUAGACAAUUUUUCUGAGGGGGGCUUACUUUUGUUUCGUUUGGAAAAGUCUGUAGAUAGUACCUACUACCUAUAGGUACUGGAAAAACGGUAUAUUUUAGACUUUAGUAAACAUCAUUAGGUGUGGUAAUCGUAAUGACUAAUGAUUAUUGUGCAUUUAAUAAAUAGGUACAUUUUAUUAAAAAUUGUAUUUGUCAGGGAGAAGAAAGUCAUUUCAAUGGAGUGCAUUUGCCCCUCUACUAUAGUAUACCUAGAUUGAACACUGAUUGUCCCGAAAUCGUCAAAACAAAUAAAAAAAUUUAUCCACCACGUACAAAUAAUAAAAUGGCAAUUUUUUUUGUGCAUCUACGUAGGGAUUUUAAUAUGUCGUCAUUAUUCUGUAAUAUGGGUUUUGAAUAUAUGCAAAUAUGUAAUAUGAAUGCGGUGUAGCACACAUGCCACGUGGUGUCGUAUUAUAAGUAUGUAAAUAAACGAUGAAAGACUUACGAGUAUUUCCAGCCAUGUAUACUAUAGUGAUAUAUUAAUAUGAAUAUUUUUUCUGGUUGGCUAUUCCGAAUAGCAAAAAAAUGCUAAAAUCGUUUUAAAUGCCCAGUUAGGUAACUACCCUCUUGUGUUUCCAUUAUUUUAAAAACAGAUUUAAAAGUCAUCAACUUUUAGCUUUCCGAGUUAUUCACCCAAAAACAUCAAAUACGUCGUAGGCUGCUGAGCGUUUUGGUCCAGUAUAAACCGUUUUGGUGGCAUAAAUGUUAUAUAAUGCUAAUAUGGUAUAACAUGGAUAUUUAAUGGUCGGGGUCGACCUGCUGCAGUCACUGUGACUUGAAUAAUUUUCUUUUUAUACGCUACCAAUAACAUAUCUGCGAUGAAAUAGGUCGUGCGGUUAUAAUAUUAUGAGUUUAUGACUUAUGAGUUUAUGAUACACAACUAAAUUGUUAGAAAUUCCUACUGACUUCUAGUUUUACUACUGUCGGAUAUCCGUUACAACAUUACAAGGUUUAUCAGCGUUAAUGGCAUUUAUCGGGUAAUUAUUAAACGUUAUGGUGUUAAAACAUGGUAAAUUCGAGUGCAUGUGCCAAUUUAAAUGGUUAUAGACAUACCCUACCAUUUAUGAGCAUUACUUUUACUGUCACGUCGUUUUAGCUUUAAGAUUAACUCCAUGAUAUGCAAAAAAACUCCACGAUUAUCAUAUUUUAUACGAUGAUCAAAGUUUUAAAAGGGUUAUACAGUGUACUCUUGGUAAUUCGAAGCUCAUCAGGGAAAAAAAAUUCGACUUACCUACUAAAAAUUUCAAGUUAUCAAAAUCAUAAUAUGUUAUUGUUAUUAGAAGGGGAAUUUUAUUUGUUCGAGUUGUCGAGAAUGUUGAGUUAUUAAGGUUCGAGUUACCGAGAGUAUACACUGUAAUAUCUUUCGGUAUACAAUUUAAAAUGAAUAUAUUCACUGAAUCCGUAAAUAUCCAUAAAUGUCAAUAUAAAAUAUAAAAAUUUUAUCUAGGUACCAAACUAACUAAACAAAUAUGUUUCGUAAUUAAUAAUCAUGAAGCUAAACAAAAUCAAUCAUAUACAAUAUUAUUGCAUUGUUAAUUAUCAAGUGUGAUACAAUAUUUUACUGAGUAGUUCUAUUCAAAAUCCUGUUUUAUUUAUUUUCAUAAGAAGUUUUAUCGUAUACUAGCUGAUCCCGUGCACUUCGUUGCUCGUUAAAUGUACCAACUCUAUAUGACUCAAACUUUGUUCAGUUCGUAAUUUAAUAUCCGGAGUAUGGUGUUCAAAAUUUACCUUAAUUUUUACGUUGCCCGGAAUAAAAAUUCUGGUUCGCAGUGGUAUAUUAUCUGCAUGUAGGCAAUUUACCUGCUGUAGGUCACGGAUCCCGUGCUGUUUGUACGUAAGUGUAUGAUUUAACUCUAAAGUAUCAAAGUUAUACCAAGUUUGUC